rnacentral:rRNA from 1 species
UGGGGAAUAUUGCACAAUGGGCGAAAGCCUGAUGCAGCGACGCCGCGUGAGGGAUGACGGCCUUCGGGUUGUAAACCUCUUUCAGCAGGGACGAAGCGCAAGUGACGGUACCUGCAGAAGAAGCACCGGCUAACUACGUGCCAGCAGCCGCGGUAAUACGUAGGGUGCAAGCGUUGUCCGGAAUUACUGGGCGUAAAGAGUUCGUAGGCGGUUUGUCGCGUCGUUUGUGAAAACCAGCAGCUCAACUGCUGGCUUGCAGGCGAUACGGGCAGACUUGAGUACUGCAGGGGAGACUGGAAUUCCUGGUGUAGCGGUGAAAUGCGCAGAUAUCAGGAGGAACACCGGUGGCGGAGGCGGGUCUCUGGGCAGUAACUGACGCUGAGGAACGAAAGCGUGGGUAGCGAACAGGAUUAGAUACCCUGGUAGUCCACGCCGUAAACGGUGGGCGCUAGGUGUGGGUUCCUUCCACGGAAUCCGUGCCGUAGCUAACGCU